CCACAAGGAGGAAACCUAGAUAGUGUAACCCAUCAGAUUUUUCUCAGUUUUGUUUUAAUGUGUAUGCGUUAUUUACUGUCGUGAGUCACUUUGAGUCCCUUUUGCUUUUUUAAAACGUGACUAAUAAAUUUAAAUAUUGAUAUUGAAUCAAAACCAACUAUCUCCCUUGUCUUCUUCUUUUCCCUUAGGGUUUGCCCUCUAUUCUCAGCAAUCUGCCAGGCGUGGUGAACCCUGGACCUGGAGGUGUUGGUGGCCCAUUUCUGAUCCCUUAUCCUGGAAUUCCUGGGGCGAAAUAGCAUCCCAGCUGAUAUACCCUCCUGCGGUAUGUACCAAAUGUUUUGUUGGCAAAUUCCAUUUCAUAUCAUUUAUAGCUUUGCUGCUUUAUGAAAUGCUUAACUGCCAGCAAGCCAAAGCACAUGGCUUAUGUUUAAUACUAGUAUGCCAAAACCUGUACACAGCAUCCCGUCAUGUGUGCCAACUUCCACUUAUUCAGGACACAUUCCAGUGAAUGUUUAAAAAUGCUUAAGGCUACAAUCCUAUUCCAUAUACCUGAGAGCAGGUUUCAUUGUAUCCCCAAGUAAAAACGCAUAAAAUUGGGCUGGGUAUCCCAUGGCUUUCAGUGAGAGAAACAGAAACCAAUGAGAUUUUCAAGGACUUUGCUUUGGCUGAACUGGAGAGCAGAUUUGUAGCGCCAUGAGACAAGUGACCAGGGCCAGCCCCAAGACAUUUUGGAUGGCCGAGGAAAGCCACAAAUAGGGACCCCCC
rnacentral:lncRNA from 1 species